GCAAUACCGGUCUCUGUUCCUAUCACCGGAGGCCCCUAUUCCGCACCACUCUGUUUCGCUUCAUUUCGUCCCACCAAUCGGGAAAUCCGAUUAGUAGGAAACAACCAUCUUUGGUGUGCUUUUUACCACCACAAUGGGUACAGGUAAGUCGGCUUCGAUCUUCGUCCGGUCGUUUCUGCCAUGGGCGUUGAGUCGCCUGCUGUCCAGUGGUUGAGCGGUUUCGAGCGGUGGCUGCGAGGCCAGAGGCGAGGCCGGCUGGAUUCUGUGAGGAGCCUAUGCCCUGGAUUUGGUUGUUGACUGAUUCUCGUCUGACGCGUGCGUAUGCCUCGCGCGCCGAUGGUCGUAUACUUGAACGGGGUCUGCGCCGCUGCCGUAGGUGAUGGCCAGCCCGUCCCAAAGAUCCUUGGCCGUUGCAUAUUGUGAAACCUCAUUCACAAGAUCCGCCGCCAUGUUGUUGAUAAUCCAAGUAAAGACGCAGUGGUCUCGUUGCUGCCAUUGUUGAUAUGUUGGGUCAUUUCGGGAUGGAGGGACAGAAACUCCAUUGAUGUGAGAUGUCAGUCCCCUCCCCCCAAUUGCCCGGUCCAUGAGAUCGGCCCAAAGUGGGUAAUUAUCCCCAUCCAGUUUCGCUCUGACUGUGAUAUCA